AAAAUUGCCUACUUCACAGGGUCCUUUCUUCUUCCUUUUAUUUUGCCUUUCUGCCAAUUUUGCUCCAUGGCACCAUAUUAGCUCCAUUGGCCUAUAAUCCAAAAUUCUGCCUAUCAGUACAUGUUUAUGUGUGGAAGGUGGUGCAAAUGGACAUAGACACUUAAAGCGAUGUCCUUUCAGAGUCACACUGGCCAUGCCUCCUGUUUCUUCUGUUCUGGGAGCUCCCAGGCCUAUGCUAGUCCCCCUG
rnacentral:lncRNA from 1 species